CAAGAGAAAAGUGUUCGGCUUUGGUCCGGUCGUGUUACGUACCUUCAAGAACUACUUGUUCCGACGAUAUUAUUAAUAAAUCGAACACAAAAGUCGAAGAUGCUGGUCGUCUUGGCUUCCGAGGAGGGGGAGGAGGAGGAAGACGGAGGCGACAACAUCAGCCGCCUAAGAGACACAGCGGAAGAAGCUGCACCGCAGUCUCCAGCGAGCCUUGCCGUCUCAAAAGCAUCCUUAAGAUCAAAACGGAGGCGGAGAAAAGCGUGGAUCAGAGGAAAGUAAGCUGGCCUGAUGCUCACGGUAAAGAUAUUGCCCAUGUUCAAGAGUUUGAGCUUAGCGCAUCCGAGGACGGAGAACAUGCAGGAUAUUCUAAAAGAAAAUAUUGUGGUGUCUGUAUAAUCCAGUGACAUUAUUUAUCCCUUUUGAUUUGUGUUUUUCUUUCUCAUUAGCACUGCGUCUGAACUGCGUGUUGAUUCUACUAGACAGUUUCGUGAAUCCAUCAUUGAGUAAAAAUGACCUAGGAACUCCA